ACUCCCGAGAGAGCAAUGAGCCAAGCCAAUGAGCCAGAGCCACCGGCGACGGCCAAGCCAAAGGCGCCGAGGUGUCGCAAGCGCCGACAGCGCCGGAAGCGGCAGAUCGCCUACCUGGCCAUAUGCAGCCUGAGCGUGGCAGUGUUCGGACUCGCGCUGGCCACGCUGAUACGACCAGCAGCCGCCGCCGACGCAGACGCUGAACUUGACGCUGACGCCUCGAACGAGAGGACGGAAAAGAAAGGUGACGACAACAAUCCCCAGGUGGAAUGGCGAGCGGGCUACGCGGGGCACGGCACCACCCACGAGCAGAUGGGGGAGCUGCAUUGGGCACCGGUUGACUACACCCCCUACAAGCCUACCGUGAACUAUACACGCCCGCCCACAGCCCCGACGACUGCAAUGAAUCCGAUUUUCAACUUCACGCACAAGCUAUACGACAGCAUAAUCUCCGAUGAGCCGGCCCUGCCACCGGGGUACAUUGUGAUGCAGGGCGACUCCCUGGCGCUUGGUCCCAAGUUCCACAAUGCCGACUUUCGAGAUCUGAUAGCCCGCUAUUGGUUGGUUCUCCUCUUCAUUCUGUUCCUCUGCGUCAUCAUUGUGGUCAUGCCGUUCGUAGCCGUCUGCUAUUGCUGCCUUUGCUGCUGCCGCCGGUGCCGUCAGGGCUGUCCCCCAUGCACCAGCAAGCAGGAUGCCCAACGACGGCUGUGGUGCGGCGUUUGUCUUCUCAUCCUAAUAGUGGGACUGAUCUUUGGCAUUGUAAUUGCCUUCGUGACAAACAGGCUGCUGGACAGGGGCUUCGAUCAGGCCACCGUGACAAUGAAGCGCGGCAGCGAUGACAUUUGCUUGUUCCUGAAGGAUGUGGCCGAUCACGUUCACCACCUGAUGGUGUACAACUACGAGGAAAUGCAGACGCACAUUUCCGAUGAGCUAAGCAGUGCCCACAAGCAUAUAUUUUUGGACUUGGCGGAUACAUCGGAGAGCACCUCUUUGGGUGAGCUGGAGCGGAUAUUGCACAACAUGCCGGAGGCGAGACAGCUGAUGGAACAAGUCGCCAAAAUGGAAACGGACUUGCGGUUCUAUGGCGCCCAACUGCGAGACGGUCUUCGUGGCAUGAAGCGGGAUAUCAACUUUGCGGUGGCCAAUCUGUGCACCACUCAGGAGUGCCAGACCUUCCUAAGCUCCAGCAGCAUUGAGUUGAUAGACACCUCCAAGUGCCUGCACUUUGAUACGAUUCCCAAUGCCACGCUAUAUCUGGAAGGCUUGAACAUUGUGGUUAAGGAGAACUAUAUCAAAAUACCCACGGACGGACUCACCCGCAUGGAGAAUGUCAGCCUGAAGGUUAAGGAGCAGCUGAACUCUGUUACACCGAGCAUGAUUCGGGACCUAAACGGCGGCAGGGACACGUUCCGCUCGCACGCGAGGAGAAUACGCAACCAAGUGGAUGCAGUGCUCAGUCAGAUUCACCUGAAGACCUCACGCUCGUCCAGGUCCUUUGAUGAUGUGUACGAUAAGUUUGGCAACAAUCGCAGCGUUAUCAGCGUCAUUGUGUGCCUGCUCAUGAUAAUGAUUCUUGGCAUCUUGAUUGUAUCUUUGCUUUGCGGCUGCUUCGGUAGACGGAAGACUGGCUAUCGCGAUGACUGCUGCAGCAAGGCAACGGCUGCCAACUGCCUAUUUCUGGCCAUUUUAUUGAUAUUCUGUAUGAUCUCGUUCAUCACGCUUAUGGGACUGGUCUACUUCAUGAUCGGUCUAGUCACUUACCAGGGAGCCUGUGCCCCACUCCGAGAUGUGGAUAAGAACGGGUUGUUCAGGCAACUGGACUCUAUGGUCGAUCUGAAUCGCUAUUUGCCACGCGCCGACGAUGCAGAACCUCUGAAGGCAGCCCCACCCCUGCGCAUGUCGAAUGCGCUCAAGAUGUGCGAGGCCAAUCAGUCGGUAUUCGAUAUGCUGCGAGCAAACAGACUGUACGACAUCAACGAACUAAAGCGCAUCAAGGUGAUGUCGUCCGAGGAGGAUUCAGAUAGCACCAAAAUAUUCGACGAGGAUAUGUCUAAAACUGAGCUCCUAACAAAGGAAGAGUUUGGAAAACUUGAAGCAAUGCGUCAAGGCGGUGCGGCCAAUUACCACAGCGAACUCUUUAAGGAUCUAUGCAGUGAGUUCACGCCGGUCAAUCUGAACGCACUUGGCGAGAAAAUGUACGCGUUGUCGAACAGCUUGGAGUCACCGACGUUUGGCUGGGCCCGAGUUUCCUUCUGGAAUGAGGGCCUCAACGCCAAGUCGUACUAUCAGAACUUUAUACCCAAGCUAACGACCAUUGUCGAGAAGAUGAAGAGCAACAUGAAGCGUAUCGACGAGCUGAUCUUAUACGAGAAUCGCGACUUUAACAACAGCAUAAGACUGCUGCUGAAGGCCGUGAGAGAAUCACAAAAUUUCAUUCAGACCAAGGGCACUAGAUAUAUCAAUGAGCUGGGUAAGAACCUCACCAGCACCAUUUCGAACAUGAUCGACGAGUACAUCUCCAUGGUCAUCGACGAGUCGAAUGAGAAUGUCGGCCGCUGUGAGCCCCUUGCCUACAUUUAUCAUCAAGGCGUUGACUUGGUUUGUCGCAGCAUGGUCGAUCCCAUAAACGGAUACUGGGUGGGCGUGCUGCUCUGCGCCCUGCUCUUCCUGCCCAUACUGUACGUCUCUCACCGUCUGAUGUGCCUGUACAAGAAGGUCUAUCCAUAUAUGGCUUCUGUCGCUAGCCAUGUGGACGUCGUUUACGAGGGCGGCUGUCCCGUAUGUACGGGAUUGCCCUAUGUGCAACAAACCUGUGCCGGUGGGCAGCAGGCCUAUUGCGCGUGCCCCGGCAAAGAACAGGGACGUCCUUCAGGCGGUGCGGGUCCCGCCGAUGAAGAUCCCGUAUUUGAUGGCCAAGUCUCUCUGCUGGAGAUGAAUAAACACAAGCAAGAUUAGCAAGAUUAACAAUAUGUUUCGGGGAAGGAUCGACAUCUACUCACAAAUUGUAUAUUUUACUAAACAUAACCGUUCUCAUUUGUACCCGUUUUCAUUUUUAUCGGAUGCAUGCCGUGAAAAUUGCCAGCGCCUGCACAUUAACCGAAAUCUCUCACACUCUUCUCAUUUCACUGCUAACCCCGCCUCAUCCAUCCCGCACGCAGCAGCGAACGCCUAUACGACGCUUAUAGUGAGCGCGAGCGCGAGCACGUUCCAUUGGCUAAUGUGCCAAAGAAACGGCGCAAGGCCUACGAACGACGUCGCGAGCAGCAGGAAUACUAUGAGGACGCAUCGCCCAGUGUGUCGCGUGCCACUCG
rnacentral:misc_RNA from 1 species